GAUAACCAAAGAUGAUCGCUGGAUUGAGUGUGGGGUUAGUAAUAACACGCACAUCACCACCACCGGGUGCCCAGGUAUCAUAGACACCGCCGAAAAACAUAGCCUUUAACACCAACAGCAGCGCACCACAUCCCAAGAUGAUAAGGUGGAAGCCGAUGAUGUUGGUCAUUUUGUUCUUGUCUUUCCA
rnacentral:antisense_RNA from 1 species